UACGGAGGAUCCGAGCGUUAUCCGGAUUUAUUGGGUUUAAAGGGAGCGUAGGCGGGAUAUCAAGUCAGUUGUGAAAUGUAGACGCUCAACGUCUGCACUGCAGUUGAAACUGGUAUUCUUGAGUGCGUAAGGGGCAGGCGGAAUUCGUCGUGUAGCGGUGAAAUGCUUAGAUAUGACGAAGAACUCCGAUCGCGAAGGCAUCUUGCCGGGCCGCAACUGACGCUGAAGCUCGAAGGUGCGGUUAUCGAAC
rnacentral:rRNA from 1 species